rnacentral:rRNA from 1 species
GACGAACGCUGGCGGCGUGCUUAACACAUGCAAGUCGAGCGGUAAGGCCCUUUCGGGGGUACGACGAGCGGCGAACGGGUGAGUAACACGUGGGUGACCUGCCCUCAGCUCUGGGAUAAGCCUGGGAAACCGGGUCUAAUACUGGAUAUGACUCCAUGACGCAUGUUGGUGGGGUGGAAAGCCUUGUGCGGCUGAGGAUGGGCCCGCGGCCUAUCAGCUUGUUGGUGGGGUGA